rnacentral:rRNA from 1 species
CUUGGUCAUUUAGAGGAAGUAAAAGUCGUAACAAGGUUUCCGUAGGUGAACCUGCGGAAGGAUCAUUAUCGAAUGAAUGUAGAGUCGGUUGUAGCUGGUCUUUCCAAAGACAUGUGCACGCCUUCUCUUUCAUCCACACACCCCCUGUGCACUUGUUAGACGGAUGAUUGUUUCCCUUUUAUUAGGGGACGGUUUCCGUCUGCUAACACAUAAAACCAUAUUUAUUAAAUUUGAAUGUAAUUGAUGUAACGCAUCUAAUACAAAGUUUCAACAACGGAUCUCUUGGCUCUCGCAUCGAUGAAGAACGCAGCGAAAUGCGAUAAGUAAUGUGAAUUGCAGAAUUCAGUGAAUCAUCGAAUCUUUGAACGCACCUUGCGCUCCUUGGUAUUCCUCGGAGCAUGCCUGUUUGAGUAUCAUGAAAUUCUCAAAGCAAGUCUUUUGUUAAUUCGAUCGGCUUUGUUUUGGACUUGGAGGUUUGCAGAUUCACGUCUGCUCCUCUUAAAUAAAUUAGCUGGAUCUCCAUGAACUUGGUUCCACUCAGCGUGAUAAGUAUCAUUCGCUGAGGACACCCGUAAAAAAGGUGGCCAGGGUUGAGGAUGAGCCGCUUCUAACAGUCCAUUCGAUUGGACAAUUAAAUUUAUGAUCUGAUCUCAAAUCAGGUAGGACUACCCGCUGAACUUAAGCAUAUCAAUAAGCGGAGGA